rnacentral:rRNA from 1 species
GAUGAACGCUAGCUACAGGCUUAACACAUGCAAGUCGAGGGGAAACGACAUCGAAAGCUUGCUUUUGAUGGGCGUCGACCGGCGCACGGGUGAGUAACGCGUAUCCAACCUGCCCAUCACUUGGGAAUAACCUUGCGAAAGUAAGACUAAUACCCAAUGAUAUCCCACGAAGGCAUCGGAAUGGGAUUAAAGAUUUAUCGGUGAUGGAUGGGGAUGCGUCUGAUUAGCUUGUUGGCGGGGUAACGGCCCACCAAGGCAACGAUCAGUAGGGGUUCUGAGAGGGAGGUCCCCCACAUUGGAACUGAGACACGGUCCAAACUGCUACGGGAGGCAGCAGUGAGGGAUAGUGGGCAAUGGGCGAGUGCCUGAACCAGCCAAGUAGCGUGCAGGAAGACGGCCCUAUGGGUUGUAAACUGCUUUUAUAAGGGAAUAAAGUGGGUCACGUGUGACUUUUUGCAUGUACCUUAUGAAUAAGGACCGGCUAAUUCCGUG